AGCGAACGCUGGCGGCAGGCCUAACACAUGCAAGUCGAACGAAACUUUCGGGGUUAGUGGCGGUGGGGUGAGUACCACGUGGGAACGUGCCUUUAGGUUAGGUACAACUCAGGGUAACUUGAGCUAAUACCGAAUGUGCUCUUCGGGGGUAAGAUCAGUUGCUGUUGGAGCGGCCGGCGUCUGUUUAGUUAGUUGGUUGUGGUAAUGCCUCACCACAGCGACGAUCAGUAGCUGGUCUGUGAGGAGGCUCAGCCACAUUGGGACUGAGACACGGUCCAAACUCCGACGGGAGGCAGCAGAGGGGAAUCUUGCGCGAGGGACGAAGGCCUGACGCAGCCAUGCCGCGGAAAUGAUGAAGGUCGUAGGAUAGUAAAAUUCUUUCAGCGGGAACGAUAAUGACGGUACCCGGAGAAGAAGCCCCGGCUAACUACGUG
rnacentral:rRNA from 1 species